AUGAACGCUGGCGGCGUGCCUAAUACAUGCCAGUCGAGCGAACAGACGAGGAGCUUGCUCCUCUGACGUUAGCGGCGGACGGGUGAGUAACACGUGGAUAACCUACCUAUAAGACUGGGAUAACUUCGGGAAACCGGAGCUAAUACCGGAUAAUAUAUUGAACCGCAUGGUUCAAUAGUGAAAGACGGUUUUGCUGUCACUUAUAUAUGGAUCCGCGCCGCAUUAGCUAGUUGGUAAGGUAACGGCUUACCAAGGCAACGAUGCGUAGCCGACCUGAGAGGGUGAUCGGCCACACUGGAACUGAGACACGGUCCAGACUCCUACGGGAGGCAGCAGUAGGGAAUCUUCCGCAAUGGGCGAAAGCCUGACGGAGCAACGCCGCGUGAGUGAUGAAGGUCUUCGGAUCGUAAAACUCUGUUAUUAGGGAAGAACAAAUGUGUAAGUAACUAUGCACGUCUUGACGGUACCUAAUCAGAAAGCCACGGCUAACUACGUG
rnacentral:rRNA from 1 species